CGAACCUUCCAUCUCUGUCCGGGGUUGGCCAAAUAAAUGCAAGCUCACUCCCAGAGCCAAACCGUAGCUCCUUAGCGACCAAUGCCAGGGUGAGUGGCGAUGGGGAGCCGGUGGGGGCCUCAGGUGCUCCAAGAGGAGUAUUUACUGUGACAGGCACAUCUGACCUCGGCCUUCACACACCUUAUAUCGGAAAAAGUGAAAAAGUGGAAGAAUCGACUUGAGUGAAGAAGAUACGGAUCACUUUUCCAGAGACAAAUUUUAUCUUGAUUGCAAAGAGAAGGAAAAACACUGAUGACUUUCUGUCACCAAGUAUAUUUUGAACUGGGUUCUGCCCGUUGGGCAUUCGCAUCCUCAGGACCCCUGGAUGGACGUCUACAUCAGACUCUUUGCCAAUGACAGGUCUUCUGCUUAAUUGUGGGAACCAGGAAGGAAGGGCAGGAAACCCCUGAGCCAAAUCUGCUGACAUGUCCCAUGUAUGCAGAGAGAGAGAGAGAAUGCAAGCAGGCGAGGGGCAGA